rnacentral:lncRNA from 1 species
UUUUGACAACUCUAAUCAAAUUACAGUUCAUAUUCUAUAUAUAGUGUUUUAUCUUAAAACCAACAAGCCUAAUUAUCUGUCAAGCCUAACGACAAGUUUUAAUCUUUUAGUAAUUCAUCCACACUCUUAGUUUAUGAGACACCGAUAUCUAAUAUUCAGAUUGGAACAUCCAAUCUCCGAUACCUAAUAUCCUAAAGGGCUUAAUACCUCCAUUGGUCCUCAUAUUUAUGUGCAAAUCUCAGUUUGGUCCUCAAGUUUUGAACUGUCUCAAUUAAAUCAUAAUUUUUGUAAAAAUGCACACAUUUUACCCUAACCGUUAAGUUGUCUCAAACGACGUUAAUUGAUGUUGAGAUGAUUUUUUUAUUUUAGGCUUAAUCCCUCUCUUGGUACUUAUGUUUGUGUGAAAAUUUCAGUUCGGUCCUCAAGUUUUGAACUGUCUCAAUUGGGUCAUGAUUUUUGAACUGUCGACAACGGCGGCAUUUUUUAGUUUGAGAGGGAGAAAAGGUGUGAGUCGGGGGGUUUGAGGGUUUAAGGGUGGAGGAAUGAGUGAAAUGUGAUCAGUGAUUGGAAGGAAAAAGAAAGACCAUAGUCACGUGGAUUUAAUGAUUUUAAAACAUAAAAAAAAUUACAGCUCAAUUCAAAUUUAAUGCCGUCUCAAUACACUUAACGGUUGGGGUAAAAUGUUGUAAAAUGUUUUCAUUUCAUAAGGACUUGAGGAAAAAGUGUGAUAAGUGAUUGGAAGGAAAAAGAAAGACCAUAGCCACGGGGAUUUAAUGAUUUUAAAACAUAAAAAAAAAUUACAGCUCAGUUCGAAGUUAAUGUCGUCUCAAUACACUUAAUGAUUGGGGUAAAAUGUUGUAAAAUGUUUGCAUUUCAUAAGGACUUGAGGAAAAACUUGAGAACCGAACUGAGAUUUUCAGACAAACAUAAGGACCAAGGGAGGAAUUAAGCCUAAAAUAAAAAAUUCAUCUCAGCAUCAAUUAACGCCGUUUGAGACAACUUAACGGUUAAAAUAAAAUGUGUGCAUUUUUACAAAAAUUAUGAUUCAAUUGAGAAAGUUGAAAACUUAAGGACUAAAUUAAGAUUGACAUACAAAUAUGAGGACCAAUGAAGGUAUUAAGCCUAUCCUAAAGUUAUAAACCUUACGGUGAAUAAACCUUUAGUGCUACAUAGUACAUGAGCUUAAUCCUCUAUUUCCUUCCCUUCCCACUAUAAAAAGGUACAAAUGUAAUCUAACA